GGGGAGUGGGAGAGGAAGAAGCAGGCUCCCAGCGGAGGAGCCUGAUGUGGGGCUCAAUCCCAGGACUCUGGGAUCACGCCCUGAGCCGAAGGCAGACGCUUAACGACUGAGCCACCCCGGCGCCCUGCUGCUUGUAUAUCUCAACGGGAUCUCAUGCUUCUGUUCAGACCAAAUCCUGAGACGCACCAAUCUACGUCCUCCCAGGAAACGGCAACCCCACUCCUCCGAUCACUCAGUCUAAGUACUUUGCAGUCACGUUUAAUUCCUUUCCCCCUCACACCCUGUACCCAAUUAGUUAGUAAGCCCUUUGAAUUAACCCAGAUUGGAACUUUGAUUCACUUUUCCUACUGCUUUGAAUCCAGACAAUCCCUGGACGGCCUCCUGACGGCAUCUGCUCUUGCCUCUUGAAGUCUAUUCCCAACACAGCAGCUAGCGAGUGUGUCCUCUCCCUCCUGCUCAGAAAACACCAGAGGAAGCCCCCAGCGGGCCCCCCUCCCCACACUGUGCCCGGCACCGUGCGCCUCAUGACUGCCCUGGGAUCCAGCUCUGGGCAGUCCCUGAGUGCACCACGCAGGCUCCCCCUUAGAUCUUUAAACUAUUUCUUUCUAGAGAAAUUUUUUUCCAGAUAUAUCCAUGACAGGCUCUCACUUUUUUCAAACCUACUCAAUUUUGGCCACCUCCAUGUUGCCCACUGUGGCCAGUCUGUGACCCAUUUCUCCCACACUUUCCCCUCCUUUUCUAUCACUUAACGCCUGGUAAUAUAGCAUGUAACGCACUUACUGCCUGUCCACCUGGAUGCGAGCUCUCUUAGGGCAGGGAUUUCUUACUUCUUCCAACUAGUCUGAAAAAUUUUAAACCUACAGAAAAAUUAUAAGGAUAGUGUAACAAGUCCCCAUGUACCCUUGACAUAGAUUUGUCAACUGUGAAGUUUGCCACACGCAUAUGUGCUCUUGAGAUAUUUACAAUUUAUUCCAGAUUUAAUGACAUCUUUGGCAUAUAACCAAGAGGCACAGAAAGGAAAUUUCACACACACAGUACUUUCAUCUAAAAUACAGCACCUGGGUGGCUCAAUUGGUGGAGCGUCCGACUCUUGGUAUUAGCGCAGGUCUUGAUCUUGGGGUCAUGAGUUCGAGCCCCGUGUUCAGCUCCACGCUGGGCAUGGAGCCUACUUAAAAAGUAAAUAGAUGGGGGCCGCCUCGGUGGCUCAGUCGGUGAAGCGUCCGCCUUCAGCUCAGGCCAUGAACCCAAUGGAUGGGGAGUCGGCUUUCCCCUCUGCCUCUCCCCCGGCUUGUGCACUCUUUCUCCCUCUCUCAAAUAAAAUAUUUUUAAAAAAUGAAUAAAUAAAAUAAAAUACAGUUAUCAGGGAAGGAAAAUUCUUCCUUAUCUUCAAGGUAUUCCACUGGACAUGACACAGACUAACAGGAGAAAACCCAGUUUCCUUGCACGUGCCCAGGAGGCCCCGUAAGGACCCCGGCAUAUUUGCAAGAGACGAUGGACUCCUGAGGAACCCACAGGACUUACAGGAAUUUACUGAAAUUUUCUUUAGAGAAGAUCCGAGGCAGAGAACAGCAUGAGACUCUUGGGUUACAAGCUGGAGCCCUAUACCCCAGAGGUGACGCUACCAGGGGUUGCCAAAGCCCCGAGGAACAACGAAAAUCAGAAACGCCGGCACGCUCUGCAUUUUCCGUGACAGCUAAGUGCCCAACUGGAACACAUCCAGCCCUCUCCACACCCACACUUGGGCAGUUGAUACAGCAGCACAUGCUGUGCGGACAGCCAGUCCUCGAGGCUCAAGCUGAGGGCCGGUCAGCUUGCACAC